rnacentral:rRNA from 1 species
UACGAAGGGGGCUAGCGUUGCUCGGAAUUACUGGGCGUAAAGGGCGCGUAGGCGGAUAGUUUAGUCAGAGGUUAAAGCCCAGGGCUCAACCUUGGAAUCGCCUUUGAUACUGGCUAUCUUGAGUUCGGGAGAGGUGUGUGGAACUCCUAGUGUAGAGGUGAAAUUCGUAGAUAUUAGGAAGAACACCAGUGGCGAAGGCGGCUCACUGGCCCGGUACUGACGCUGAUGUGCGAAAGCGUGGGGAGCAAACAGG